CCAAUCUGUAUUUCUCUUCUCUCUCUCUCCCUAGUUGUUUAGCAGCCUCCCUGUUAUACCAAUCCCAAUUUGUCCAGUGUCAAGUUCAGAAAAACAAAGAUUCACCCAGAUAUUGGGAGAAAUUACACAAGUUUCUCCCGAGCUCUUUCCCCUUAGAAAGAUGCAAUCUUUCUAUAUUGCAACCUGAAAUCAUCCAUCUCACCACAUGGGGAAGGUUGAGGGAACAGUGAAAAGGAUAAGAUUAAUUGUAUAGUCAUCCGACGCAGGCACGUAAUAGUAUGGUUUGAAGAUAGGACAGAGAGAGUUGAUAGAAAAAAAAAAGUUAGCUUCUUGAAAACAAUUUUGGGAGAUGUCAAGUGGGGGUUGUAGUAUUGUAUGGUUCAGAAGGGAUCUGAGAGUAGAAGAUAAUCCAGCCUUAGCAGCUGGAGUUAGAGCUGGAGCAGUUGUUGCUGUGUUUAUUUGGUCACCUGAGGAAGAGGGUCAGUACUAUCCCGGAAGGGUCUCAAGGUGGUGGCUCAAGCAGAGUUUAGGCCAUCUUGAUUCUUCUUUGAGGAGCCUUGGCACUGCACUUAUCACAAAGAGAUCUAGCAAUACUAUUUCUACAUUACUUGAAGUUAUCAAGUCUACUGGAGCUACUCAGCUCUUCUUCAACCAUUUAUAUGACCCCUUGUCGCUUGUCCGGGAUCACCGUGCAAAGGAAGUUCUAACAGCUCAAGGUGUAGCUGUACGCUCCUUUAAUGCUGACCUGUUUUAUGAACCUUGGGAAAUCCACGAUGAGGAAGGUCGUCCAUUCAGAACUUUUGCAUCUUUCUGGGAGAGAUGCCUCAGCAUGCCUUACGACCCCGACUCUCCACUGCUUCCGCCCAAAAGAAUUAUCUCUGGAGACGUCACUGGAUGCCCUUCGGACAUUUUAGUCUUUGAAGAUGAGUCAGAAAAAGGAAGUAAUGCACUUCUCGCUCGAGCAUGGUCGCCUGGGUGGAGUAAUGCUGACAAGGCACUAACUACCUUCAUUAAUGGGGCACUAAUUGAGUACUCAAAGAACCGCCGAAAGGCCGAUAGCGCCACAACCUCGUUUCUUUCUCCCCAUUUACAUUUUGGGGAAGUCAGUGUAAGAAAGGUUUUCCAUCUUGUUCGCAUCAAGCAAGUUCUAUGGGCCAAUGAGGGAAAUAAAGCUGGUGAAGAGAGUGUCAACCUAUUCCUCAAGUCUAUUGGUCUCAGAGAAUAUUCAAGAUACAUGAGCUUCAAUCAUCCUUACAGCCAUGAAAGGCCCCUGCUUGGCCACCUAAAGUAUUUCCCUUGGGUAGUGGAUGAGGGAUACUUUAAGGCAUGGAGGCAAGGAAGAACUGGUUAUCCUUUGGUAGAUGCUGGUAUGAGAGAGCUUUGGGCAACUGGUUGGCUACAUGAUCGAAUACGAGUUGUUGUCUCUAGUUUCUUUGUUAAGGUUCUGCAACUCCCCUGGAGGUGGGGUAUGAAGUAUUUCUGGGACACACUACUGGAUGCAGAUCUCGAGAGUGAUGCUCUUGGUUGGCAAUAUAUUUCUGGUACUCUCCCUGAUAGUCGUGAGUUUGACCGCAUUGAUAAUCCACAGUUUGAGGGAUAUAAAUUUGAUCCCCAUGGAGAGUAUGUUCGAAGAUGGCUUCCUGAACUUGCUAGGCUACCUACUGAUUGGAUACACCAUCCUUGGGACGCACCAGAAUCAGUCCUCCAAGCUGCUGGUGUUGAACUAGGUUCCAAUUAUCCUCUUCCAAUUGUUGAAAUAGAUGCAGCAAAGGUCAGGUUGCAAGAGGCGCUUUCACAGAUGUGGCAGAAUGCAGCAGUGUCAAGAGCUGCACUUGAAAAUGGAACAGAAGAAGGACUUGGGGACUCCUCUGAAUCAGGCCCCUUUGCCUUUCCUCAGGACAUGCAAGUGGAGAUGGAUCAGGAACCUGCUAGAAAUAAUAAUGCUGCAACCACAACCAUCCGACGUUAUGAAGAUCAGAUGGUCCCAAGCAUGACUUCAUCAUUGGUGAGAACGGAAUAUGAUGAAACUUCAUUUUAUAUGAGAAAUUUUGUAGAAAAUAGAGCAGAAGUGCCAAGAACUGUUAAUGUAACUGAAGAACCUGCAAGAGAAGUAACUACCCGCCCUCCCAGGCAUACAGUUCAGAGUAACAACAUUAUGCCUGUAUAUAAUUUUACAAUAGGACGAAGAAACUCUGAGGACUCAACAGCAGAAUCUUCCAGCAGUGGUAGACGAGAAAGGGAUGGAGGCAUAGUUCCAGUUUGGUCUCCCUCAAGUUCAAAUUUUUCGGAUCCAUUUGCUGCAGAAGACAAUGGCAUAGGAACUAGUGCUUCAUACUUGCAGAGGCAUCCGCAGUCUCAUCAGCUAAUGAACUGGAGGGGGCUCCCUCAAACUGGAGCCUAGUGAUCAUGCAUAGUGUUGCUGCUGCUCAAUUUAUCUACCAAGUCACUGAAAUGGCUAUUUCUGAGGAAAGAGGUGAGCCCGUACAAAUCACUAGCUAUUAGGCAAAAGCUGGACGAUCUAAAAUGAUGGUUACAAUUGGCCUCUGACUGCUAAAUUAGCUCCUGAUGCCUGGCGUUCACAUCCUUCCUCUCUGACCCAAUCAGCUGUGGAACUGUGUCCAAAAUUUAUGAAAUCAGAUUGGGGGGUCUGUCUGUAUUCUCUCCUCGCCCCAUCGGUGUUGCAGAUGUGGCUCAGCUGUAUAGUGUAUAAUGUAUUCUAAGCACAGAUGAGUGUUUUAGAAUAGGGAUAUGCUGUAGUGAUAUAAUCUAAAUAGGAUCGAGGUUUUGGUUUUCUGAGUGUAGGCUGAUUAUAGCUGAUGUUAUAAUCACCAAUAAAGCGAUCUCCUUUUUCUUCCCCCGAAGUCCCUUAUUACUGUAUCAGAAAAAUACUGUAGGAUUGUGCGCUAGCUAUGCUUUGUCUGAGGGUGUGCAUGGUAUAUUUUUGACAGUCCGUGGCUCAGUGGGAUGUUGAACAUUAACUCUCCCUGCCUUAUAAAUGAAAUGAAAGUUUUUCAGUUUGGAAA